rnacentral:rRNA from 1 species
GCAAGUCGAACGCAUUUAGUUGCGUGGCGAACGAGGUAGUAACACGUAGGACUACAAACCCCAAAGUCAGGGAUAACCUGGAGAAAUCCAGAAUAAUACCUGAUAGUUCCCGCAAGGGUAAAGAUUUAUCGCUUUGGGAUUGGCCUGCGGAGUAUCAGCUUGUUGGUAGUGUAAUGGACUACCAAGGCUAUGACGCUUAGGGGAGGUGAGAGCCUGGCC